UACGUAGGGUGCAAGCGUUGUCCGGAAUUAUUGGGCGUAAAGAGCUCGUAGGCGGUCUGUCGCGUCGGCUGUGAAAACUUGGGGCUCAACCCCAAGCCUGCAGUCGAUACGGGCAGACUAGAGUGCGGUAGGGGAGACUGGAAUUCCUGGUGUAGCGGUGAAAUGCGCAGAUAUCAGGAGGAACACCGGGUGGCGAAGGCGGUUCUCUGGGCCUUACCUGACGCUGAGGAGCGAAAGCGUGGGGAGCGAACAGG
rnacentral:rRNA from 1 species